GAUGAACGCUGGCGGCGUGCCUAAUACAUGCAAGUCGAGCGAACGGACGAGAAGCUUGCUUCUCUGAUGUUAGCGGCGGACGGGUGAGUAACACGUGGAUAACCUACCUAUAAGACUGGGAUAACUUCGGGAAACCGGAGCUAAUACCGGAUAAUAUUUUGAACCGCAUGGUUCAAAAGUGAAAGACGGUCUUGCUGUCACUUAUAGAUGGAUCCGCGCUGCAUUAGCUAGUUGGUAAGGUAAUGGCUUACCAAGGCAACGAUGCAUAGCCGACCUGAGAGGGUGAUCGGCCACACUGGAACUGAGCCACGGUCCAGACUCCUACGGGAGGCAGCAGUAGGGAAUCUUCCGCAAUGGGCGAAAGCCUGACGGAGCAACGCCGCGUGAGUGAUGAAGGUCUUCGGAUCGUAAAACUCUGUUAUUAGGGAAGAACAUAUGUGUAAGUAACUGUGCACAUCUUGACGGUACCUAAUCAGAAAGCCACGGCUAACUACGUG
rnacentral:rRNA from 1 species